GCCGAAGUGGCGGAAUUGGUAGACGCGCAGCGUUCAGGGCGCUGUCUCGCUUUGCGAGGUGUGAGUUCAAGUCUCACCUUCGGCA
rnacentral:tRNA from 1 species